ACUGAGCCACCCAGGCACUCCUGUACACAUACUAGUUUUAAAAAAUUCCCUUUUCUACUUUUAUUUGUGGUAUGAUUUUCAUGUGUUUGUCCACAGGAGAGAUUGGAAGCCCACACUCCAGGAAAGUCACAAGAGGCUCUAGGAAAAGAACAGCGGUGGAAGGUGGGUGACAUUCAGUCUUUGGCGUCUGAGAACCCAUGUGGCUGCCCCGGUUACCUCUAUCCCUGCCUCCGUUCCUGGAGGGCCUGUUGGCAGAGCAACAGCAGACAUGUUUAUUUCACCGGUGCUUGCAAAUAGGACUGAUUGGAAACCACCUAUAUCCCCACAACUUAGAACUCGCUAAUGAUCUUCAGUUCAGCUGCAUAAUGGAAUACCAUGCAGUCGCUAAGAAUAAAUCAGAAAUCCUAUACUUUCUGCGUUCGGUGUUAGAUUCCACAGCAGAACAAACACCUCUUGGCUUAUGCAGUCUGGUUUCAUGGAUUGCACAGGCUCCUUGGUUGAUCUGAAUGUCAACCUGGGCUGGGGGCUGCUGUUCAGUGUUUAGGGUUCCUCUGAAGGGAAUGCAGAGAAAUCAAGUCAAAAUGUGCCAAAGAUGUUACCAACAAUCAUGUCUUGGUUGUGAUACUUUGAGUAACUUAUAUUAUUUUUCAGUUUUUUCCUUCCAUUUCCAAUAUGCAAAUAUACUUCCUAAUUAAAAAAAAUAAACGUUUAUAAAGAAUCUUGUAGAUAAAGAACAAUAACAGAAAUCACUGCCCAGGAGGACUGGAAGGAAAUAAGACAAAAUGCUGCCUUUAGAUGUCUGGCCAGGAAGAAGAUCUACAUGUUCAUGAAAACAUCACAGGAGAAAUAAAUGUGAAAGAACAUCAGGGGAAGAUGGACUCAUGUCUUGGAGUAAGAUCUUGCAACUUUGUCAUUUUGUAGUUUGUGUCUCUUGGUGGAGGAGAUUCCAUCCACAGCCAGUGGUGGUGAUCCAACACUGCUGGGCCAUUCCUGGUUCCCUUGCUGUGAGUGUGACACAGGGUGCUGGUCCGCUCUGGCUGAAGGGAAGAGGGUCAUGAAUGGAGAGCAAGGGGAGGCAGAAGGGUGGGCCAGUGGGAUCCGGGAGAGCCCCAAGGAGCUGGGCAACCAAAGCCAAGAGGAGCACACCAACUGCCCAUGGGCUAAGGUCGGAAGUCUGGGGAAGCUGAGACAAAAAAAAACAGGGGUUCAGCAAGGGGCACACAGAUACUCAAAGCAGAGGGGAAAUUCUACUUAUGGACCUUCAUGGCAUUCCAAAAUUAGUUAACCCCUGGGAGAGGCUAAAUAUUGAUAGUUUUUCUCCCUGUCCCUCUGGCCAACUGUCUUUUUAGGGGUCCCCGUUAGCUCCAUUAUAGCUCAACCCACCUCAUUCCUUUCCAUUCUGUUCACCCCACUCUGUGCCAAGCGCUGUUUGGCGACACCAGAGGACUGUGUGUUGGGAUAAGGAAGAAACAAGGUAAACGUAUUACAUGACUAGUGCUGUCUUUCGGGCAGGGGCAACAUGGUAGCUGAUGGGCUGAGGCGGGCAGGAAAGGUUUCCAGAGGAGCAGGUACUGAGCUAAGUCCUCAAGGACACUGUGAGCAGCCUCCCAGCACAUCUGAGAGAGGAGGGCGAUUUCUGGAAAAUACAUAAGAGUGACGGAUGCCCCUGCCAUGUGCCUGGUGGAUGUCAGCUUCUGAAUUGCAGGUGUGUUCAGAGGAGAUCUGGGGCCAUGAGGCUACCACACAGGUGGAGUGGCCUCCAAAGGGCAUUGACUGACCUGCUGAGGGAUCUGUAAUGAGGGGGAGAGACAGGUCUGAUUUGAACUUGGCAGUGGGUGUCUAUGUGAGACAAUGUGGAGAGGUACCUCUGUUAUCCUCGGUAUUGUGUCUUCAUUUGGGGGAGAAGAAAUUCUAAAUUUAUCAUUUAAUCAGAUGACUUUAGAAAAGUAGCUAUCUAGGUGCUGAGAAAAUUGGUUCAUUCAUUCAUACUUCAUUUAUUCAUUCAAAACAAUUCUUGUACCUCAGUUUAUAUUUCCUACUGCUUAAAUUUCUGUGGUGUCUACACAGAUUGUUAAGGCAUUGUUCUAAUCUCAAGAACCUUAAAAACAGAAGGAGGGGAAGGUGAGGACUAACCCCAUGGUGUUAACCCAUAAACUGAGCUGAUCACAUCACCACUCAUCACUACUUAAAAUGUCCCAGUGGGUUUCUAUUUCCCUCAGGAAAAGUACAAACUUUUUUCCAGGCCAAAACAUCCCUCUAUGGCCUCACCUCCUGAGACCCAUCUCUUAGCACCUCCCUUCUUUUCCCUCCGUGCCAGCCUCAUUGUCCUUUAUGUGGUCCUUGCCAGACUGUCUUCAACCACAGGCCCUUGACACAUGUUGUUCCCUCUUCCACUGUCAUCUCCCUGGGUUCAUGUGCACUCAUCCUUCUAAGUGCACAUCAAUGCUGCUUCCUCGGGGUAGGCUUUCCUGGUCUAUUUAAAUUGACUCCGACCUUAGUACACAACUCAUACUCCAUAUAACAUCCUUCAUAAGUCUUAUCCCAGUCACAAGAAUUUUUCAUUUAUGUACAUGAUAACUUUAUUAAUAUCUGUAUUCACCAGACUGUAAGCUCCAUGAGAACAAGGGCUGUGUCUUUCCAAAAAAUCAACUUUACUGAGGCAUAAUUUUUGUGCAACAAACACACCCACUUCACACGCACAUUUCAACGAGUGUUGACAAAUUUACACAAAAAUGGAUUCACUGUGUAACCACCAACACGGUCAAGAUGGGGAACAUUUCCAUCACCUCAAAAAGCUCCUCUGUGCCUCAUCCCAGUCAACUCUCUGCUUUGCUUCCUGUCUCUAUAGAUUAGCCUUUUCUAGAGUUUCAUAUAAAUGGAACCAUGCAAUAAGCA